rnacentral:rRNA from 1 species
UAGGUUACGUCAAGACUCACGGUUAUUAACCGUAGGCUUUUCUUCUCUACUGAAAGUGCUUUACAACCCGCAGGCCUUCUUCACACACGCGGCAUUGCUGGAUCAGGCUUGCGCCCAUUGUCCAAUAUUCCCC